GCUGGGCGUGGUGGUACAUGCCUGCGAUCCUAGCAGCUUGGGAGGCUGAGGCAGGAGGAUCGCAAGUUCAAAGCCAGCCUCAGCAACUUCUCAAGGCCCUAAGCAACUCAGUGAGACCCUGUCUCUA
rnacentral:sRNA from 1 species